UCAUUAUCACCAUGACCUAAAGUAGGAAGACUUCAAAGGACUGAUGUCCACAUCCAAACCAUAGCCUAAAAGUUCCACAGGCUUUUAGUGCGCGUGAACAAAUAAUUAUGGGGAAUUUUAGUUUGGUGAAAUGACAAAUUUAAGAAGGAAAAAGUUUAGCAGGACGAUAAAACAAACCUUGUGGAGCAAGUUGAACGGUUUCGAUAAGCAAGUACGUCAUCUGCCAAAAUUUCCAAACUUGAAGCCUUAUCUUCAUCCCAACGUCAAAUCGCAUGCUAAUAAAAAAUUUAAAACCCAUUUUUCAUAAUGAUUAUCAGGAAUAACUUGGUAAUAGAAGAAGCAUUAUGGACUCUAAUUGUCAUUUGCAGGCAAAGUAUUUACUGUAGAGGUAGAAGAGUUCCAAGUCAAUGCAUGCUCCUUUUCUUUUAUAAAUGAUGAAUGAAUGAUAUUAACCGUAACAACGUACGACAUGUGUAUGUAUAAUAAACAUUCAUUCAUACGAAAAAACUAACAUCACAAACUAAAAUCUCAUUUCGAAAGCAUUUUCCUACACACAACCCAUAAAAGACAUUUAUUUGGUCUAUAAUAGUUGUAAGAAGACUGAUCUGUUAUUAUUCUGUUAAAGUACAAAGGAUCAUUGUUAAGGUGACUUGACAUAGUACCAGACCAAAAUCAUCUUGGUCCCCUUUAAUGUGUAUUUUUUCUAGACAGUAGCUGUGGAAACUAUCUUGUCAUUUCUACUCAGUAGAUUUACAGAACAUCCUAUAGUAGUAUAAAGAGAUAAAUCUAUAAUACCCAAAUCGAUCUCGACAAAUUUCAAAUCUAAUCCUUAUAUGAGAAGGAAAAGUAAAAAGUGGAGGAGUUCAAUAUGUGAUAAACCACUUACCCUGCUUAUCAUUGCACGAGUGUUUGCGGGUAUACCGACCAACCGGCCUCAACUCAAGGAACCGGUUUGAUUUUGCUAAUUGGUUUAUAGAUUUGUAGGCGGCUGCAAACGGAUAACUGUUUAUGCUCUAGCGGAAACACUCGCAUGAACACAAACAAAAAGUCUAACAGACAAAACACAACCAACAACAUUUUCUAAUUAGACAAGUUGAUGCUCAUUUUGAUCUCCUACGUACUAUAUCAAGUUGAACAAUUAUUUUAUAUUUUUAUGUAUCAUCAAAUGCACGAGACAUAACUCCUCACCAAUUUAAUGAUUAAAUGUCGAUCAAAAGUAUAGUUUAUUUAUGCAAACUGAGACGAAUUAAUUGUUGACCAAAACACUUACCUAUAAUUCUAUUGUUAAAAGGACUCAAAUACCCUCAGUUUGAUCAUGUUCACGGUCCCCGAUCCCCACACUAAGGAUAGUGUAGUAGUGAAGCAGUUCCUCACCCUAAUUCGGUUGAGCUAGCAAAGAGUCAAAGAUGCGUUGAUAUUUUCUCAAAUUAACCCACAAAAGAGAUUUAUUUGGUCUAUAUACCAUAAUAUAUAGUUGUAAGAGGAAUUAUUCGCAAGCUAAUUCAUAUAUUAGACUAUGAGUAGGACAAGUGCAAAAUGGAGUUCAAUACGUAAUGUAAACGACUUACUGUGGCAUGAGU
rnacentral:lncRNA from 1 species